rnacentral:rRNA from 1 species
GAGACACGGUCCAAACUCCUACGGGAGGCAGCAGUGAGGAAUAUUGGUCAAUGGGCGCUAGCCUGAACCAGCCAAGUAGCGUGAAGGAUGAAGGCUCUAUGGGUCGUAAACUUCUUUUAUAUAAGAAUAAAGUGCAGUAUGUAUACUGUUUUGUAUGUAUUAUAUGAAUAAGGAUCGGCUAACUCCGUGCCAGCAGCCGCGGUAAUACGGAGGAUCCGAGCGUUAUCCGGAUUUAUUGGGUUUAAAGGGAGCGUAGGUGGACUGGUAAGUCAGUUGUGAAAGUUUGCGGCUCAACCGUAAAAUUGCAGUUGAUACUGUCAGUCUUGAGUACAGUAGAGGUGGGCGGAAUUCGUGGUGUAGCGGUGAAAUGCUUAGAUAUCACGAAGAACUCCGAUUGCGAAGGCAGCUCACUGGACUGCAACUGACACUGAUGCUCGAAAGUGUGGGUAUCAAACAGGAUUAGAUACCCUGGUAGUCCACACAGUAAACGAUGAAUACUCGCUGUUUGCGAUAUACAGUAAGCGGCCAAGCGAAAGCAUUAAGUAUU